rnacentral:rRNA from 1 species
UGGAACUCGARCGAGCGAACGGGGAGAUUCAUCGUKUAUUUGGRGGUCCGCGGUGYRGAGUCGUACGGUUUGGCUUCGGUCAGAUCGCACUUCGYAUCGYAGUGGCUUCCAAANGGCGUGCACUUCUCCCUUAGUAAAACACCGCGACCCGUUAGCAUUUUAGUCGAACUCGCCGUGCGGUUGUCCCGUUUUCUCAGUUUACUGAGGGAUGGAGCCGCGGYGCUGUGGCUAAAGUCUGACGGUAAUGAACGAGGUYCGYAUCCGCUUUUAGCGUCCAYGUYGUGGCGACGUCCCUUUCUCUGUAGAUCUUCGCCGUAAAUGCGGCAAGGUUUGCACUGCGAAGGUCGUGCUGUCRYRAYRCUUGGACGGGAUGCGUCCCGGUCUG